rnacentral:rRNA from 1 species
CAGCCGCCGCGGGAAUACGAAGGGGGCUAGCGUUGUUCGGAUUUACUGGGCGUAAAGGGCGCGUAGGCGGACUGAUAAGUCAGGGGUGAAAUCCCAAGGCUCAACCUUGGAACUGCCUUUGAUACUGUUUGUCUUGAGUUCGAGAGAGGUAAGUGGAACUGCGAGUGUAGAGGUGAAAUUCGUAGAUAUUCGCAAGAACACCAGUGGCGAAGGCGGCUUACUGGCUCGAAACUGACGCUGAGGCGCGAAAGCGUGGGGAGCAAACAGGAUUAGAGACCCCCGUAGUCCCUGUCUCUUAUAA